UACGGAGGAUGCGAGCGUUAUCCGGAUUUAUUGGGUUUAAAGGGUGCGUAGGCGGACUGGAAAGUCAGCGGUAAAAUCGAGAGGCUCAACCUCUUUCCGCCGUUGAAACUGUCGGUCUUGAGUGGGCGAGAAGUAUGCGGAAUGCGUGGUGUAGCGGUGAAAUGCAUAGAUAUCACGCAGAACUCCGAUUGCGAAGGCAGCUUACCAAACUAUAUCUGACGUUGAGGCACGAAAGCGUGGGGAGCAAACAGG
rnacentral:rRNA from 1 species